GGCUUUAUGCUCUAGUGGUUAGGAGUCCAGAUUUUGAAGUCAUAUCGAAUUCUGGCAGCCCCGGUUCGAACCCGGGUAAGGCCU